CAAGCCUUGAAACCCCGGGCAGUUUUAGAGUUUUCAGAGAGGCUCCUCACAACAGGUGGCUGGUGUGCACCUGGGCCUCUUGGAUUUCCCUUUCAAAAAUGGGAAUAGAGGGAUCUCGGGCACUGAAGGGGGACCAUGGGCAGUGUGAGGGCAGGCACACGUGAUGGUGGGGUGCAGUGGCGGGAAGCUCGGUGCCAACUCUCCUGCUGGGCUGCCAGAUUUCCUGAAUGCGGCUCUUUAUGAAACAGCUCCUCCAUGGCAAGGGAAAACUGGUGAAGAUCCUAAUGUAUGAAAAUGAAGUCCCAGGCAACCAUGAUUUGCUGUUUAAUGUUAUUUCUGGCCACAGAAUGUUCUCACUAUAGAUCCAAGAUGCACAUAAAGGUAAGUUUGAUCCAUUUUUAGGUGGUCCCAUGAGAAAUCUGUCUGUUCUCCUAGAUGGCUAAAUUUAUUAUAAAUAACAUAAUCUUAAAUAAAUUUUCAAAUGACUACAAUUUUACUCCUGCUGAUAGUUUUUUUUUUUUUUUUAAGGGAACAAAGACAAAUUGAGAGGUGGCUGGGACUUGUAACAGUACAUUUGCAGGGUGCAACAAGUGUAAUAAUAUAGUUGAAAAAUCACUUUGCAAGCCACAAAAUAUGUAGAUAGGCAGUUGUUGGGAGGAGGAAGUACUAGCCUGGCAGCUAGCAAUUCAGCCCCAGACCUUAACUUUGCUUCUCAUUAGUUGCACAAGUUGUUUUGCUUCUUUGAAUCUUAAUUUCCUUAUCUAUAACAUAGGGUGUUUUGUUCAUUUAUUUUUAUUUAUUUUAUUUUUUAUUUUUGUAUAUUUUUUUAUUG
rnacentral:lncRNA from 1 species